rnacentral:rRNA from 1 species
GGCUUCACGAGAAAAUUUCUGUCUCUAUUAAAUUAUUUGAAUUUCAUUUUAAUGUGCAAAAGCAUUUUUUAUCUUAAAAGACGAUCAGACCCUAUGGAGCUUCAAAUUUAUUUUUGAACAGAAUAAAGAAAUACUUGCUCAAAAAACAAUUUUUCGUUGGGGCGACGGAAAGAUCUAAAUAACUCUUUCUUAAUAAAAUAAAAAUACUUAAAAAAUUGAUCCUAUCAGAUAGAUUAAAAGACUAAGUUACCCUAGGGAUAACAGCGUAAUUUAUAUAGAGAGCUCAAAUCGAUAUAUGAGUUUGCGACCUCGAUGUUGGAUCAAAGUUCCUUUAAGGUGUAGCAGCUUUAAAAGGGGGUCUGUUCGACCUUUAAAUCUUUACGUGAUCUGAGU